rnacentral:rRNA from 1 species
GACGAACGCUGGCGGCGUGCUUAACACAUGCAAGUCGAGCGGUAAGGCCCUUUCGGGGGUACACGAGCGGCGAACGGGUGAGUAACACGUGGGUGACCUGCCCUCAGCUCUGGGAUAAGCCUGGGAAACCGGGUCUAAUACUGGAUAUGACUCCAUGACGCAUGUUGUGGGGUGGAAAGCCUUGUGCGGCUGAGGAUGGGCCCGCGGCCUAUCAGCUUGUUGGUGGGGUGAGGCCUACCAAGGCGACGACGGGGUAGCCGGCCUGAGAGGGCGACCGGCCACACUGGGACUGAGACACGGCCCAGACUCCUACGGGAGGCAGCAGUGGGGAAUCUUGCGCAAUGGGCGAAAGCCUGACGCAGCGACGCCGCGUGAGGGAUGACGGCCUCGGUUGUAACGU